rnacentral:piRNA from 1 species
UGAGGUACCUCAGAGGCAACACCAUUGAGC